CUUAAGUGGCGGACGGGUGAGUAACGCGUGGGGAACCUGCCUUGCACCGGGGGAUAACACUUAGAAAUAGGUGCUAAUACCGCAUAAGCGCACAGAGCCGCAUGGCUCGGUGUGAAAAACUCCGGUGGUGCAAGAUGGACCCGCGUCUGAUUAGCUGGUUGGCGGGGUAACGGCCCACCGAGGCGACGAUCAGUAGCCGGCCUGAGAGGGUGAACGGCCACAUUGGGACUGAGACACGGCCCAAACUCCUACGGAAGGCAGCAG
rnacentral:rRNA from 1 species